GACGAACGCUGGCGGCAUGCCUAACACAUGCAAGUCGAACGGAGUUUCUUAAAUGGAUCCCUUCGGGGUGAAGCUUUUGAAACUUAGUGGCGGACGGGUGAGUAACGCGUGGGUAACCUGCCCUUUUGUGGGGAACAACUUCGAGAAAUCGGAGCUAAUACCGCAUAUACUUACGGAAUCGCAUGAUUCUGUAAGGAAGAUGGCCUCGCGUCCGAUUAGAUAGUUGGUGAGGUAACGGCCCACCAAGUCUACGAUCGGUAGCCGAACUGAGAGGUUGAUCGGCCACAUUGGGACUGAGACACGGCCCAGACUCCUACGGGAGGCAGCAGUGGGGAAUAUUGGGCAAUGGGCGAAAGCCUGACCCAGCAACGCCGCGUGAAGGAUGACGGUCUUCGGAUUGUAAACUUCUUUAAUUGGGGAAGAAUAAAUGACCUACCCAAAGAAUAAGUCACGGCUAACUACGUG
rnacentral:rRNA from 1 species